rnacentral:rRNA from 1 species
AGAAUCAACGCUGGCGGCGUGCCUAACACAUGCAAGUCGAACGCGAGAGUCCCGCAAGGGACAAUUGAGUGGCAAACGGGUGAGUAACACGUGGGUGACCUGCCUUCGAGUGGGGGAUAACGUUCCGAAAGGAACGCUAAUACCGCAUGACAUCCUGCUCUUGGAAGAGCGGAGAUCAAAGCUGGGGAUCGCAAGACCUGGCGCUUGAAGAGGGGCCCGCGCCUGAUUAGCUAGUUGGUGGGUAACGGCCUACCAAGGCGACGAUC